CUCAGUGACCUCCAAAGUACGUUUUAACUCAGAGAUUCGAUUGUUCUUUUAAUAGACAGUCUAUUUACAUCACCAGUGAAUUAAAGAUGUUCAUCUCCUCAUCACAGUUGUGCUGUCAGAGAGCCAGCUAUUGGAAGGAGAAAUUUAAAGAUGCUUCCAGGACACUAAUCAAGAAUCUAUCAAUGUGGAUAAUCAUUCCAAAGAUGCAGUUGGCAACCAUUCUUGCUUUUCUAUCCCAUAUGACUCUUCUUUAAAGUCUAUGGUAAGUCCUCUACAAGGGGUCUGCUUAAUUUGCUGGGGCCUUCUUAUAGAUUU
rnacentral:lncRNA from 1 species